AAGCAUAGUGAAGAGCCGCAUAUUAUAUGCUUUGAUUUGACUCAAAUGGCUAUUGGCUCGUAGUGGUAGGUCAUAGACAGACAUUGUAAAGGUAAUACAAACUAAAAUAAAAUAGAAUUUGUUAUGCACUGGUAUGUGUGUUUUGUGCUGACAUUAGAGGUAUACUCGAGGUUGGUGUUAUUGCUUUUGGAGGUAUGUGUGUCCCAAAAGAGUCAUUUGGCCAUGACUUUGGUGUGACAGUUAAAAGAGAAAGCUGUUGAUUCUUCUAUUUUCUUGAUAUUGUCCAUUUUGUUCCUCCAUUCUGC